CCUACGGGGGACAGCAGUGAGGAAUAUUGGUCAAUGGACGAGAGUCUGAACCAGCCAAGUAGCGUGAAGGAUGACUGCCCUAUGGGUUGUAAACUUCUUUUAUAUGGGAAUAAAAUGUUCCACGUGUGGGAUUUUGUAUGUACCAUAUGAAUAAGGAUCGGCUAACUCCGUGCCAGCAGCCGCGGUAAUACGGAGGAUCCGAGCGUUAUCCGGAUUUAUUGGGUUUAAAGGGAGCGUAGGUGGAUUGUUAAGUCAGUUGUGAAAGUUUGCGGCUCAACCGUAAAAUUGCAGUUGAAACUGGCAGUCUUGAGUACAGUAGAGGUGGGCGGAAUUCGUGGUGUAGCGGUGAAAUGCUUAGAUAUCACGAAGAACUCCGAUUGCGAAGGCAGUUCACUAGACUGCAACUGACACUGAGGCUCGAAAGUGUGGGUAUCAAACAGGAUUAGAUACCCUUGUAGUC
rnacentral:rRNA from 1 species